rnacentral:rRNA from 1 species
CAGUCGCCGCGGUAACACGAAGGUCCCGAGCGUUGUUCGGAAUCACUGGGCGUAAAGGGAGCGUAGGCGGCGUGGUAAGUCUGUUGUGAAAUCCCCGGGCUCAACCUGGGAAUGGCAAUGGAUACUGGCAAGCUAGAGUGUGUCAGAGGAUGGUGGAAUUCCCGGUGUAACGGUGAAAUGCGUAGAGAUCGGGAGGAACAUCAGUGGCGAAGGCGGCCAUCUGGGACAACACUGACGCUGAGGCACGAAAGCGUGGGGAGCAAACAGGAUUAGAUACCCCCGUAGUCCCUGUCUCUUAUAC